GCAGGCAGGUCCGCCCUGUGGCACCUUCCACAUUUUUUUCAAAACUUGACAUGUUCAGCGUGUAGCUCGCUAGCUCAAAAUUUGUUGGUGUUUCCUGUGGCGU